CACUGUGUGCGCAAAAGUCGUGUCGAAUCUGCUGUUGCGAAAGGUCAUUCGUGUUUACCGAUACAUGGCAGUGACAGACACCAUGGCAGCCACGAAAGCCGCCAAAGAACAAAAAUACGACAGGCAGCUUAGAUUGUGGGGUGACCAUGGGCAGGAAUCUCUAGAAAAUGCCCACGUUUGUCUGAUCAAUGCUACAGCAACUGGGACAGAGAUACUGAAAAACCUUGUGCUUCCAGGUAUUGGAGCGUUCACCAUAGUUGAUGGAAACACAGUUUCUGGGGAAGAUGUAGGAAACAAUUUUUUCCUAAGCAACAACAGCAUUGGAAAGAAUCGAGCACAAGCAGCCACAGAGCUCCUCCAAGAACUGAACAGUGAUGUAUCGGGUAACUUUGUCGAGGAGAGCCCUGACAUGCUCCUGGAUAACAAUCCAGAAUUCUUCCAUAGAUUUACCAUUGUUAUCGGUGUACAGUUGCCUGAAAGCACGUGUUUAAGGCUAGGCUCAGUUCUGUGGAGUGCGUCGGUACCUUUCCUGCUUUGUAAAACCUACGGCCUCAUUGGCUACAUGAGGCUUGUGGUACAGGAGCACACAGUGAUUGAGUCACACCCUGACAAUGCUUUGGAGGACCUGAGGUUAGACCAGCCCUUUGCCGAAUUCCAAAAGCACAUCCAGUCCUAUGACCUGGAUAGCAUGGACAAAAAGGAUCACAGUCACACACCUUGGAUAGUCAUUGUUGCCAAAUACCUUGAAAAAUGGCUUAGUGAGAAUAACUCUCAGCCCCCCAGAAAUUACAAGGAGAAAGAGGCUUUUAGGCAGAUUAUUCGGGAAGGAAUCCUGAAAAAUGAGAAUGGUGUUCCAGAGGAUGAGGAAAACUUUGAGGAAGCCAUAAAGAAUGUCAACACUGCAUUAAAUCCUACCAAGGUCCCUGGUGUUGUAAAAGACCUAUUCAAUAAUGAUCAGUGUAACAACAUAACAUCACAGACUACAGCCUUCUGGGUGAUGCUGCGCGCUGUGAGGGAGUUUGUGCACAAUGAAGGCCAUGGCAGCUUACCUGUACGAGGGACCAUACCAGAUAUGAUUGCAGACUCACAGAAGUUUAUCAACCUUCAGAAUGUUUACCGGGAAAAGGCCCUGCAGGAUGCAGCUUCUGUUGCCGGAUACGUUGAUAGUCUGGUGCAGUCUGUUGGAAAGGCUCCUGAAAGCAUCACUGACAAAAACAUCAAACUCUUCUGCAAGAAUGCGUCCUUCCUUCGGGUGGUGCACUGCCGAUCUCUGGCAGCAGAGUACAGUGUGGACUCGGUUAACAGAGAUGAAAUAACCUCAUGCAUGGACAAUCCUGAUAGUGAGAUGGUCUUCUACCUCAUGCUUCGAGCUGUCGACCGCUUCUACCAGCACCAUUCCCGCUACCCUGGAGUGUAUAACUACCAAGUCGAGGAGGACAUCUGCAAGCUGAAACUGUGCGUCACCAGCCUGCUGCAGGAGUACAACCUCAACGUGAACAUUAAGGAUGAUUAUGUGCAUGAGUUCUGUCGGUAUGGUGCAGCAGAGCCGCAUACAGUUGCUGCGUUUAUGGGAGGAUCAGCUGCGCAAGAAGCCAUCAAGAUCAUCAGCCACCAGUUUGUGCCCUUCAACAACACUUUCAUCUACAAUGCCAUGUCACAGACCUCUGCAACUUUACAGCUAUGAGAUGAAGAAUAGCGCAGCACCUCCCUAUAUGGACAACCUCCCAAACCAGAGCUCGCGAGCUCGGCCACUAAAACCCCAGCUCCAAAGUGACAAAGGGGGCAGCGGCCGACUUUCACAUGAUGCAAAAGCUCUGGAAUGCGUUCCCACAAUCCUCGUCUGCGACUCUGCUGCCGUGGACAUGGGAACCAACAUGGGGAUGCCUUGGAAAUGCCCAGAAUGCACCAAAGCAAAGUCGACAUAGCGCACUGAGAUCUUCGUGAAAAGAUGGAAAAAACAUAUCAUUUGUUUCCGUAUAUGAAGCAAUAUAAAAUCCCUAAAUGUAAAGAUCGUGCCAAAUCAUGCAAAUUCUACCGAUCUCCGAGAAUUAUGUGCAACUUUGUGACCGCCAGCAACUUCCCCUCACAUUUU